ensembl:snRNA U1 U1 spliceosomal RNA
AUUCUUAGCUGGUAGAAGAGAUACUAUGAUCACAAAAUGGGUUUUGCUAGGGUGAGGCUUGUCUGUUACACCAGGGAUGUGCUGAACCUGAGAUUCUUACCAAGAAACUCAACUGCAGAAAUUUUGCUAGCGGGGUAAGAUCAAA